UAGCAACUGUAGUGAACAUGGGCUGAACUCCACAGUGGGCUGGACGUGUUGCCCUGGAUCGUCUGGGUGGGAAAAGGAUGGUGGCCCUCACAGUAAACAGGGCCAAGCAAGUGAACUACUGACCUGAUCCCGAGGCACCAAAAUGUCACAACAGCGCCAGAAGCUGGGAGUCAGGGAGGCUCCAGGGCUGACGGGCCCAGUGAGCAGAACAAAGUACGGUCCGCACCAGACCCUGUCACAGACAAUGCCAAGGAACGACCACACAGUUGCAGCCACGGGCAUCACAGCGUGGCCCUGCUGCCGUGUUCACACCGGCACCUGCUGCUCCCGGCUGAGGCCCGGCGGCCCACGUGCACGUCCCCCAGCCUCACGCCGCUGCUGCCACGUGCCCAAUGCUCAUGGCCCGACGGAAAGGAAACACGAAAAAGGGGCAGUUCUGACCUCACGUAAGAAACAUCAGUCAUCCAAGCCUACAACGCUAUUUAUGUCUCAACAAUAUUCUCCACAUAUAAAACAGUGUGCCACGAAAAGAUGCAUUUAAGUAGUAGCUUUAUUUUAGAUAACUGAUGUAAGGGGGGAGGGGACAUGAAUGUGUUGAAAUGGAGUGAUAAUAAAAUAAUUUAACCACAAAAUGAGAUGAGAAAAAAAUGGUAGUUAUACAUCAGUGGAAAAAAUGAGUUACAAGA